GAUGAACGCUGGCGGCGUGCCUAAUACAUGCAAGUCGAGCGAACGGACGAGAAGCUUGCUUCUCUGAUGUUAGCGGCGGACGGGUGAGUAACACGUGGAUAACCUACCUAUAAGACUGGGAUAACUUCGGGAAACCGGAGCUAAUACCGGAUAAUAUUUUGGACCGCAUGGUUCAAAAGUGAAAGACGGUCUUGCUGUCACUUAUAGAUGGAUCCGCGCUGCAUUAGCUAGUUGGUAAGGUAACGGCUUACCAAGGCAACGAUGCAUAGCCGACCUGAGAGGGUGAUCGGCCACACUGGAACUGAGACACGGUCCAGACUCCUACGGGAGGAAGCAGUAGGGAAUCUUCCGCAAUGGGCGAAAGCCUGACGGAGCAACGCCGCGUGAGUGAUGAAGGUCUUCGGAUCGUAAAACUCUGUUAUUAGGGAAGAACAUAUGUGUAAGUAACUGUGAACAUCUUGACGGUACCUAAUCAGAAAGCCACGGCUAACUACGUG
rnacentral:rRNA from 1 species